AUUGAACGCUGGCGGCAGGCUUAACACAUGCAAGUCGAGCGAGCGGCGGACGGGUGAGUAAUGUCUGGGAAACUGCCUUAUGGAGGGGGAUAACUACUGGAAACUGUAGCUAAUACCGCAUACCAUCAGAUGUGCCCAGAUGGGAUUAGCUAGUAGGUGGGGUAAUGGCUCACCUAGGCGACGAUCCCUAGCUGGUCUGAGAGGAUGACCAGCCACACUGGAACUGUGACACGGUCCAGACUCCUAGGGGAGGCAGCAGUGGGUAAUAUUGCACAAGGGGCGCAAGCCUGAUGGAGCCAUGCGGCGUGUGUGAAGAAGGCCUUCGGGUUGUAGAGGACUUUCAGCGAGGAGGCGUUGCUCGCGGAAGAAGCACCGGCUAACUCCGUGCCAGCAGCCGCGGUAAUUC
rnacentral:rRNA from 1 species